rnacentral:rRNA from 1 species
GACAGAGGUGCCAAGCGUUAGGCGGAAUCACUGGGCUUAAAGCGUGUGUAGGCGGAAUGGUAAGUACCUUGUGAAAUCCCACGGCUCAACCGUGGAACUGCUUGGUAUACUGCUUUUCUUGAGCCACUUAGGGGCAACCGGAACAAAUGGUGGAGCGGUGAAAUGCGUAGAUAUCAUUUGGAACGCCAAUGGUGAAAACAGGUUGCUGGGAGUGUGCUGACGCUGAGACACGAAAGCCAGGGUAGCGAACGGG